rnacentral:rRNA from 1 species
CAGUAGCCACGGGAAUACGAAGGGGGCUAGCGUUGUUCGGAAUUACUGGGCGUAAAGCGCACGUAGGCGGAUAUUUAAGUCAGGGGUGAAAUCCCGCAGCUCAACUGCGGAACUGCCUUUGAUACUGGGUAUCUUGAGUAUGGAAGAGGUUAGUGGAAUUGCGAGUGUAGAGGUGAAAUUCGUAGAUAUUCGGAAGAACACCAGUGGCGAAGGCGACUGACUGGACAAGUAUUGACGCUGAGGUGCGAAAGCGUGGGGAGCAAACAGGAUUAGAUACCCGCGUAGUCCCUGUCUCUUAUAC